rnacentral:lncRNA from 11 species
GUGAUUGCUCGGUGUGAAAUGAAUAUUUAUUGACGUGAAUAUCGCCGAUUACGACAAUCUGACAAUCCAAGUCUGAAAUGUUUUGCUGUGUUUAUGAAUUAUAAAUCUUAUAAAUCGUCAUGUCUGCUAUCAAGGAUUAAGGAUAAUAGAAACUUGACAAAUGAAGAAAUAAAGUUCUAAUAAAUAUGGAUGGAGAGAUUUAUUGAGCAGAUAAUUCAUUAGGCGAAUCGUGAACAGAAUUCGGAGGUCCUUUCACGAUGUGUCGCGGCCGUUUAGAAGGUAAAACAGCACUGUGGAACGUGAUUGUGCAAGAAUCAUAGAAUUAGAAGGACAACCGGAUUCCACGAGCCGUUCAACGAUGAUCGUGCCUUUUGUUUUGUUAGUUGGCGGAUUCCUGAUUAUCGAUUCAGGACAAAUCCUCUUGAAAUUCGAGGAUUACCAGGGAUGAUACGUCUCGCGGAAAGUAGAAGAAGAUCAUAAAAGUCUGGAAGCCUAUGGACGGUUGAAAUCCUGCUGAACUAUUGAAAUCGUUUAAGUUAAACUAUGUUUGGUAUAAUAAAUCCUUCCUGAAAUGUUGGAAAUGUUAGACACGGUCUCGGUAAUAUGGUAAAUCGGUUUGAAAAUUUAAGAGCUUUCGUGGUCAGCUUCUGGACAAGCCGCAUUUUAAUGAAUUCUAUCAAUUUUCAUUGCAACUGUACGAAUUCAAUUUCGACCGAUGCUUCUUCCUGUUAUCUUGCUGCUGUCGUAAAAAAAUAAUUAGUAGAAGAAAAAGAAUUUUAUUGCACAGAUUUAUCUUAAUUGCUGCUGUUGU